rnacentral:misc_RNA from 1 species
UCGAGCCCCUCUUUGAAAGAUUGAGAAGAUAUUGCCAUACCCAUCGAGAACAAAGCAUUGGUGUUGCGUGCACUUUGCUCGUUCAGAUGGGUUCCCUUCGCUGCCUUCACUCUUUUUCUUUGCAACAAGAAGGGAGUGAAAUAUAAGAGAUCGGCACGGUUUGUGCCAAGGACAACUGUUGUUGAAGUGCAUCGUCUAUUUUUUUUGUACGAUGUAUAUUCUACAAGCAUGAGCGUUUGAAUGACUCUCGGCAAUGGAUAUCUUGGCUCUCGUGUCGAUGAAGAACGUAGCGAAAUGCGACACUUGGUGUGAAUUGCAGAAUCCCGUGAAUCAUCGAGUCUUUGAAUGCAAGUUGCGCUCGAGGCCAUUAGGUCGAGAGCACGUUUGCUUGGGCGUCAUGCUUUGCGUCACGCUAAAUGCCGGCCCACCCUAAAUAGUAUUGUGGACAAUGGUGGACGUGGAGAUUGGCCCUCCGUGCUUUUGAUGUGCGGUUGGUUUAAGUGAUGGUCGUCGUUAGGUUUGCAUGCGGCGAAUGGUGUAUCGAGCUCGUGCUUGAGGUCUUUAGCUGCGUGCAUCAAUCCUACCCAUGACGUACAACCGUCAAAACCGUUGUCGAUGUUUGUGCUUUAUGCAAGCUCGGACC